GCUCCCACCGCAGAAAACGUUAGACCCACAUACUUAUCACUGCUUUCCUUUUCGAGGUAACUGAAAAUUCCCUGUUUAGUUUAACGACAAUUCCCCCAGGCCCCUAUCCUCUUUACAAAACACUUACCUGUUGGGGUGAUGAAACAGGGAUGAAAGCGGUGCGAACGAAGCCCUCCGAAAGAAUGAUUAGAGUAGGAGAACUUAAUUAAUAUUCUUCCCUG